rnacentral:rRNA from 1 species
UACGUAGGGGGCAAGCGUUGUCCGGAUUUAUUGGGCGUAAAGAGCGUGUAGGCGGCCAGAUAGGUCAGCUGUGAAAACUCGAGGCUCAACCUCGAGAUGUCGGCUGAAACCAUCUGGCUAGAGUCCGGAAGAGGAGAAUGGAAUUCCCGGUGUAGCGGUGAAAUGCGCAGAUAUCGGGAAGAACACCCGUGGCGAAGGCGGUUCUCUGGGACGGUACUGACGCUGAGACGCGAAGGCUAGGGGAGCAAACAGG